rnacentral:rRNA from 1 species
UACGUAGGGUGCAAGCGUUGUCCGGAAUUAUUGGGCGUAAAGAGCUCGUAGGCGGUUUGUCGCGUCUGCUGUGAAAACUCGGGGCUUAACUCCGGGCCUGCAGUCGAUACGGGCAGGCUAGAGUUCGGUAGGGGAGACUGGAAGUCCUGGUGUAGCGGUGAAAUGCGCAGAUAUCAGGAGGAACACCGGUGGCGAAGGCGGGUCUCGGGGCCGAUACUGACGCUGAGGAGCGAAAGCGUGGGGAGCGAACAGG